CCUGGGAUAAUCCGUCAGCUGAGCUGGCUUAACCCCGGGCCAUGCUUUUUCAGGAUGCCAGUCUGCCUGCCCAGCACUGCGGUCCGAGAACUUGGCUUUGUACAGAAACCUAUUGUAUUCAAAAACACAGCUGGUUACAGUGCAACUUUCAGUGUAACUAAGCGAUGGCAACAGCAUUAAUGGCAUUACGUGCGAGUCAGGAUGGAAGACCUGGUCCUCAGCUGGUUUGAUUUGGGCUGGAGAUGCUGUGUCGCAUUUUAUCCAUGAUGUGACUUCCAGGUUCAAGAUUUGGAGGGUUACAUGAAAAAUGUUGGUUUGCCAUUAAGGUUGUCCUGGAUUAUUUCAGUAGAGAUGGUGCCACCUAAAAGUGAAAACCUGAUCUCUUGGCUUCUGAAGUAGGAUGCUUUUCUUCAGAUUAGUUGAAUAUGAAUUGCUGAAAGUUCCCCAGACACAGACCCUGCGUUUAAGGUGUCCAUGUCUUGCUGCUGAAGAGUCAUCGCUAAAUCAGUGUCUGCAGUUCAAUGCAGAUACAUCAGGAGUGAGCAAGGCUGUCCCCCAACCACCGUGAGUUUCCUCUGCAUAGGGAGAAUGGAAACCUACACCCACCUUCUUCAGCUCUGCUUUGCAAUAAUGACCAAACAAUGGUCCCAUGAGAUUGUUUUCCUAAUGAGGGAAUAAAACACUUCCCAACCCUCUGCUUUUCCGGAAUGAUGACCCCCAAAUCUCCUACUGACACCCCGGCUGAGAGCCAGCGGGAAGCUGGAUGUGGGCUGCUGGCUGAGUGAACUACUUCU